rnacentral:rRNA from 1 species
GUCCACGCCGUAACGAUGGAUACUAGCUGUUGGGAGCAAUCUCAGUGGCUAAGCGAAGUGAUAAGUAUCCCACCUGGGAGUACGUUCGCAAGAAUGAACUCAAAGGAAUUGACGGGGCCCGCACAAGCGGUGGAGCAUGUGGUUUAAUUCGAUGAUACGCGAGGAACCUUACCAAGGCUUAAAUGUAGAUUGACCGGUUUGGAAACAGAUCUUUCGCAAGACAAUUUACAAGGUGCUGCAUGGUUGUCGU